rnacentral:rRNA from 1 species
UACGUAGGGGGCAAGCGUUGUCCGGAUUCAUUGGGCGUAAAGAGCUCGUAGGCGGUUCAGUCAGUCGGGUGUGAAAUCUCCGGGCUCAACCCGGAGGGGCCACCCGAUACUGCUGGACUUGAGUUCGGUAGGGGAGUGGGGAAUUCCUGGUGUAGCGGUGAAAUGCGCAGAUAUCAGGAGGAACACCGGUGGCGAAGGCGCCACUCUGGGCCGACACUGACGCUGAGGAGCGAAAGCGUGGGUAGCAAACAGG